rnacentral:rRNA from 1 species
UGAGUAAUGUCUGGGAAACUGCCCGAUGGAGGGGGAUAACUACUGGAAACGGUAGCUAAUACCGCAUAACGUCGCAAGACCAAAGUGGGGGACCUUCGGGCCUCAUGCCAUCAGAUGUGCCCAGAUGGGAUUAGCUAGUAGGUGAGGUAAUGGCUCACCUAGGCGACGAUCCCUAGCUGGUCUGGGAGGAUGACCAGCCACACUGGAACUGAGACACGGUCCAGACUCCUACGGGAGGCAGCAGUGGGGAAUAUUGCACAAUGGGCGCAAGCCUGAUGCAGCCAUGCCGCGUGUAUGAAGAAGGCCUUCGGGUUGUAAAGUACUUUCAGCGAGGAGGAAGGCAUUAAGGUUAAUAACCUUGGUGAUUGACGUUACUCGCAGAAGAAGCACCGGCUAACUCCGUGCCAGCAGCCGCGGUAAUACGGAGGGUGCAAGCGUUAAUCGGAAUUACUGGGCGUAAAGCGCACGCAGGCGGUCUGUCAAGUCGGAUGUGAAAUCCCCGGG